GCCUGGGUGGCUCAGUCAGUUGAGCUUUGACUUGGGCUCAGGUCAUGAUCUUGCAGAUUGUGGGUUCGAGUCCCGCAUCGGGCU
rnacentral:tRNA from 1 species